GAUGAACGCUGGCGGCGUGCCUAAUACAUGCAAGUCGAGCGAAGCGGGGAAGGGCGAGUAAAACGUGGAUGACAUCUUAUAAGACUGGGAUAACUUGGGGUCACCGGAGCUACACCGGAUAUGUAGUGAUGGAUCCGGGCUACAUUGGCUGGUUGGUAAGGUAACGGCUGGCCAAGGCAACGACGCAUAGCCGACCUGAGAGGGUGAUCGGCCACACUGGAACUGAGACACGGUCCAGACUCCUACGGGAGGCAGCAGUAGGGAAUCUUCCGCAAUGGGCGAAAGCCUGACGGAGCAACGCCGCGUGAGUGAUGAAGGUCUUCGGAUCGUAAAACUCUGUUAUUAGGGAAGCGGUACCUAAUCAGAAAGCCACGGCUAACUACGUGCCAGCAGCCGCGGUAAUAC
rnacentral:rRNA from 1 species